rnacentral:tRNA from 1 species
GCCUGGCUGGCUCAGUUAGUAGAGCAUGUGACUCUUGAUCUUUGAGUUGUAAGUUCGAGCCUUACGUUGGGUG